rnacentral:rRNA from 1 species
UGGGGAAUAUUGGACAAUGGGCGCAAGCCUGAUCCAGCCAUGCCGCGUGUGUGAAGAAGGCCUUUUGGUUGUAAAGCACUUUAAGCGAGGAGGAGGCUACUGAGAUUAAUACUCUUGGAUAGUGGACGUUACUCGCAGAAUAAGCACCGGCUAACUCUGUGCCAGCAGCCGCGGUAAUACAGAGGGUGCGAGCGUUAAUCGGAUUUACUGGGCGUAAAGCGUGCGUAGGCGGCUUCUUAAGUCGGAUGUGAAAUCCCUGAGCUUAACUUAGGAAUUGCACUCGAUACUGGGAAGCUAGAGUAUGGGAGAGGAUGGUAGAAUUCCAGGUGUAGCGGUGAAAUGCGUAGAGAUCUGGAGGAAUACCGAUGGCGAAGGCAGCCAUCUGGCCUAAUACUGACGCUGAGGUACGAAAGCAUGGGGAGCAAACAGG